CUUGGUGGUGACGUGUGAGCUGAUUCACCUGGACACUCAGCAAAAUAUGGACUCUACACCAUGAGGCAGGCACACAUUAAUACUCUAUAAGAGCACAUAAGCAUGAGGAUGUCCUCACACACCUGUAACCUAUCAGCUCAUCUGGCAGAAUAGAGAGAGGAGACAACACCACAUCUCCUGUUCCUGGAAAGCCUUCAGCCAUCCUUCGAUGACUGAGAACCUCCAUCAGCUCUGUCUCCUGUCUGCCUACAAUUAUUAUAAUAAAUAUUGUGUUUGACAAGUUUUUUGUGCUGCCAAAUAUCUAAUUUAGA